UCCGUUAUGGUCCAGGGGUUAGGAUUUCUGGUUUUCAGCGCAUUUGAAUACCCAGACGGCCCGAGUUCGAUCCUCGGUAACGGAA